rnacentral:rRNA from 1 species
AGAGUUUGAUCCUGGCUCAGAUUGAACGCUGGCGGCAUGCCUUACACAUGCAAGUCGAACGGCAGCACGGGUGCUUGCACCUGGUGGCGAGUGGCGAACGGGUGAGUAAUACAUCGGAACAUGUCCAGUAGUGGGGGAUAGCCCGGCGAAAGCCGGAUUAAUACCGCAUACGAUCUGUGGAUGAAAGCGGGGGACCUUCGGGCCUCGCGCUAUUGGGGUGGCCGAUGGCGGAUUAGCUAGUUGGUGGGGUAAAGGCCCACCAAGGCGACGAUCCGUAGCUGGUCUGAGAGGACGACCAGCCACACUGGGACUGAGACACGGCCCAGACUCCUACGGGAGGCAGCAGUGGGGAAUUUUGGACAAUGGGGGAAACCCUGAUCCAGCAAUGCCGCGUGUGUGAAGAAGGCCUUCGGGUUGUAAAGCACUUUUGUCCGGAAAGAAAUCCUUCGAGAUAAUACCUUGAGGGGAUGACGGUACCGGAAGAAUAAGCACCGGCUAACUACGUGCCAGCAGCCGCGGUAAUACGUAGGGUGCGAGCGUUAAUCGGAAUUACUGGGCGUAAAGCGUGCGCAGGCGGUGAUGUAAGACCGAUGUGAAAUCCCCGGGCUUAACCUGGGAACUGCAUUGGUGACUGCAUCGCUGGAGUAUGGCAGAGGGGGGUAGAAUUCCACGUGUAGCAGUGAAAUGCGUAGAGAUGUGGAGGAAUACCGAUGGCGAAGGCAGCCCCCUGGGCCAAUACUGACGCUCAUGCACGAAAGCGUGGGGAGCAAACAGGAUUAGAUACCCUCGUAGUCC